rnacentral:lncRNA from 1 species
GGGUGUGACUAUCAGGAACCAUGGCUCACUGGAGCACCAUCUUUGGAGUCUAGCUAACACAGCAUCUUGGAUGCACUCCUAAGAGAAGACUACCUGAAAGGCGUGUACACUGGUCUAGCAGUUGAGAUCAGCUAGUGUUCCAUCUAUCUUCUGUCAUGUAUCUCUUCUAAGAUGUCUUGAUCGACUGACCCCAAAGCCAGAGGGUACCAGGUCAAAAAGCAAGUUUGGAAGUCUGGAAAAGUUCAAGAUUGGCCAUCUGCAGCUGGUGAGAGCCUCAGGCUGCUUCCCCUCAUGGUGGAAGGUGAAGGGGAGCUGGUGUGUGCAGAGAUUACAUGCAAAGGUGCUGCUGGUUACUCUUGGUUCAUCUAGCAAUAGAUGAUCUGAAUGUUAGAGUUCGCCAAAUAUUGUUCCUGGGCAGUCUUUGCUCUACCAAAUCAACUUUCUCCAUGGGGGAGCUAGAAGUCACCCCACAUUCUCCGCCAUGGCCAGCUCUACAUUCUAAGAGAACCAAUGGCUCUACCCAACAUAUUCUUCUCACCACAGAUGACAAAGACACAAGGAGCCAAGACAGAUCAUUCAAGCAUAUUCAUUGCCUCUAUCUUCAUCCCAUUAAAUAACAUCCCGCCAACCAAAGCAAGUUAUCUGCAUAAGAAUAAAUAUUCCACCUACUCU